rnacentral:rRNA from 1 species
GACGAACGCUGGCGGCGUGCUUAACACAUGCAAGUCGAACGAAGUGGCGAACGGGUGAGUAAUACGUGUGUAACCUGCCCUCCUUUUUGGGAUAAGCCUUGGAAACGGGGUCUAAUACCCACUAAAGGGGGAUGGGCUCUCGGCCUAUCAGCUUGUUGGUGGGGUGAUGGCCUACCAAGGCGUUGACGGGUAGCCGGCCUGAGAGGGUGACCGGCACCAUGGUGACGGAUAGACGGCUCAGAGACGCACGGGAGGCAGAAUUGGGGGAGAGUGCACAAGGCGGGAAAGCCUGAGGCGGGGACGCCGCGUGGGCGAUGAAGGCGUUCGGGUUGUAAACCUCUUUCGCUAGCGAAAGGGUAGGUGGAGAAGAAGCGCCGGCUAACUAUGUGCCAGCAGCCGCGGUAAUUC